GAUGAACGCUGGCUACAGGCUUAACACAUGCAAGUCGAGGGGAAACGACGGGGAAGCUUGCUUCCCCGGGCGUCGACCGGCGCACGGGUGAGUAACGCGUAUCCAACCUGCCUCUGACUGAGGGAUAACCCGUCGAAAGUCGGCCUAAUACCUCAUGGCAUCGUCUGCGGGCAUCCAACGACGAUUAAAGAUUUCAUCGGUCAGGGAUGGGGAUGCGUCUGAUUAGCUUGUUGGCGGGGUAACGGCCCACCAAGGCUACGAUUAGUAGGGGUUCUGAGAGGAAGGUCCCCCACAUUGGAACUGAGACACGGUCCAAACUCCUACGGGAGGCAGCAGUGAGGAAUAUUGGUCAAUGGGCGGGAGCCUGAACCAGCCAAGUAGCGUGCAGGAUGACGGCCCUAUGGGUUGUAAACUGCUUUUAGGCGGGGAUAAAGUGAGGGACGUGUCCUUCAUUGCAGGUACCGCAUGAAUAAGGACCGGCUAAUUCCGUG
rnacentral:rRNA from 1 species